rnacentral:lncRNA from 1 species
GGCUCAGCGAAUCCCUGACGCGGGACGGGGCCAAAAUCCGGGCGCACAUCCGGCUGGUGCUGGAGGGCCUGCGGGAGCUGCAGGGACUCCAGGACCCCCCCGGUGACCUUUGACCCCUGACCACGCCCAUCCCAGAGGUCAGAGGUCAUCAAUUCAACCUGGAGUAAAGUGGUUGUAAACCCGGAGUAAAGUGGUUGUAAACCCGGAGUAAAGUGGUUGUAAACCCGGAGUAACGUGGGUGUAAACCCGGAGUAAAGUGGGUGUAAACCCAGCGUAACGUGGGUGUGAAUGUGGAGUAACGUGGGUGUAAACCUGGAGUAACUUUGGUGUGAAUGUGGAGUAACUUUGGUGUGAAUGUGGAGUAACGUGGGUGUGAACCUGGAGUAACUUGGGUGUGAAUGUGGAGUUAACUUGGGUGUAAACCUGGAGUAACGUGGGUGUGAAUGUGGAGUAACUUGGGUGUAAACCCGGAGUAACGUGGAUAUAAACCUGGAGUAAUGUGGGUGUGAAUCUGGAGUGACGUGGGUGUAAACCUGGAGUAACGUGCGUGUGAAUGUGGAGUAACAUGGGUGUGAAUGUGGAGUAACUUGGGUGUAAACCUGGAGUAACGUGCGUGUGAAUGUGGAGUAACAUGGGUGUGAAUGUGGGAUAAUGUGGGGUGUGAAUGUGGAGUAACGUGGGUGUGAAUGUGGAGUAAAAUGGGUGUGAAUGUGGAGUAACUUGGGUGUAAACCCAGAGUAAUGUGGAUAUAAACCUGGAGUAAUGUGGGUGUGAAUCUGGAGUGGCGUGGGUGUAAACCUGGAGUAACAUGCGUGUGAAUGUGGAGUAACAUGGGUGUGAAUGUGGAGUAACUUGGGUGUAAACCUGGAGUAACGUGGGUGGAAAUGUAGAGUAAAAUGGGUGCGAAUCUGGAGUAACGUGGGUGUGAAUGUGGAGUAACGUGGGUGUAAACCUGGAG